UCUUUCUUUGCUGGCACCGGCGCACGGGUGAGUAACACGUAUCCAACCUGCCCUUUACUCGGGGAUAGCCUUUCGAAAGAAAGAUUAUACCCGAUAGCAUAAUGAUUCCGCAUGGUUUCAUUAUUAAAGGAUUCCGGUAAAGGAUGGGGAUGCGUUCCAUUAGGUUGUUGGUGAGGUAACGGCCCACCAAGCCUUCGAUGGAUAGGGGUUCUGAGAGGAAGGUCCCCCACAUUGGAACUGAGACACGGUCCAA
rnacentral:rRNA from 1 species